GCCGCGGUGGCUUAAUUGGCAAGAGCAUCGCACUCGUAAUGCGAAGACAUGGGUUCGUGCCCCAUCUGCGGCC